CAAUCCUAAUGGAUCAACUCUUAUUGAUACUUGCAGUUCCACAGAGCUUCUCAUAGUGAGAUACUUGCGAUGAUAAAUGACAAUCAGAGAUGAAAAGGACACCUUAACUAGAAAAACAACCAGUGCAGUACCCUAUUGAGAUUUGAGGCUAAGGAUUCCCCUAAAAGUGAAAACCACAUGAUUAGGAAGAAAAGAAGGCUCAUACAUGAACAAAAGUCUUCUGACUCUUGGAACUAUGCAUAUUCAAUCGAAAUCAAGAAAGUUCGUGAAAAGCUAGAAGAAAGGUCUGCCAAAUGAAGUAGUCUAUGGGGAAAAGAUGAUAUUAAAGAUCCAGUUGAUAACAAUUUCUAUC